UACGUAGGGGGCUAGCGUUGUCCGGAUUUAUUGGGCGUAAAGAGCGUGUAGGCGGCCAGGUAGGUCUGCUGUGAAAACUCGAGGCUCAACCUCGAGAUGUCGGCGGAAACCAUCUGGCUAGAGUCCGGAAGAGGAAAGUGGAAGUUCCGUGGUGUAGCGGUGAAAUGCGCAGAUAUCGAGGAAGAACACCCGUGGCGAAGCGGCUUCUGGGACGGUACUGACGCCUGGAGACGGCGAAAGCGUGGGGAGCGAACGGG
rnacentral:rRNA from 1 species